rnacentral:rRNA from 1 species
UACAGAGGUCUCAACCGUUGUUCGGAUUCAUUGGGCGUAAAGGGUGCGUAGGCGGUCGCGUAAGUCGGAUGUGAAAUCUCAGGGCUCAACCCUGAAACUGCAGUUCGAUACUGCGUGGCUAGGGUACUGGAGAGGAGACUGGAAUUUACGGUGUAGCAGUGAAAUGCGUAGAUAUCGUAAGGAAGACCAGUGGCGAAGGCGAGUCUCUGGACAGUUACCGACGCUGAGGCACGAAGGUCAGGGGAGCAAACGGG